rnacentral:rRNA from 1 species
GACGAACGCUGGCGGCGUGCCUAAUACAUGCAAGUUGAGCGCUGAAGCUUGGUACUUGUACCAACUGGAUGAGCAGCGAACGGGUGAGUAACGCGUGGGUAAUCUGCCUUUGAGCGGGGGACAACAUUUGGAAACGAAUGCUAAUACCGCAUAAAAACUUUAAACACAAGUUUUAAGUUUGAAAGAUGCAAUUGCAUCACUCAAAGAUGAUCCCGCGUUGUAUUAGCUAGUUGGUGAGGUAAAGGCUCACCAAGGCAAGGAUACGUAGCCGACCGGAGAGGGGGUCCGCCAAAAUGGGAACUGGACACCGGCCAAGCUCCCUCGGGAAGCAGCAGGAAGGGAUCCUCGGCAAUGGACGGAAGGCUGGACGAGCAACGCCGGGGGGGUGGAGGAGGGUUUCGGGUCGUAAAAAUCUGUUUAUAGGGAAGAACGAUAGGUGGAGGGGAAAGCGCAUCAAGUGACGGUAACUACCCAGAAAGGGACGGCUAACUACGUG